UUGAGCAGACGAGGAAGGAGCUUUAGCUCAGUGAGAAGGGAAUGGUUUAUGUAAAGGGCAUAUUUGAGAGAUGACCAACACCCCAACACUUCUGAUGGGGUGUUGGUCAUCCAACGCUCGAAGCAAUACUUACUGCAGGGGCAUGCUAUUACUAGGAAGCUUAAUUCUGAUGAUGAGCUGCCUCAAUUUGAACAAGCCUGGAAGAAAAAUGCUAGAAAGCAUUUGCCUGGUUGGAGUGAGCAUUUUGAUGGCCAUGUUGGACGGGCCACAGUCAAGCAUCGCCUUUGUCGGACAAGGAUCAUGAAGAGAGGGCAAAAAGAUUUGAAUUUGUGUCUGAGCUAUUACGAUCCACCGUCAUCGACGAUAAUUUAUGAGUAGGUGCAGAAUGGUAGAUGAUCUGGAGCUUACGUGACCGAGAAUCCGCCCCUACAAUCUUUAUGGUUGGCCUGGGGUGAAUGUGUUGUUUGCUGAUGUAUUAAAAUAGGAAGCAAGGGAAUAAGGUUUAUAAGCUAAAAUGUAAUUCUUUGCUUGUCGACUUUGGUUUUGACCCGAGGAAACAAUGCUGUGCAUAGCUCCUGUGUGAUGCUUGGACUUCUCAAAAGUAACGAUAUUGAAGAACUUUUAUUUACG